AGCGAACGUUUGCGGCGGGCUUAACACAUGCAAGUCGAACGGGUUGUUCCUUCGGGGGCAGUCAGUGGCGCACGGGUGCAUAACACGUAGGUAAUCAACCCUCUGGUUGGGGAUAACACUUCGAAAGGAGUGCUAAUACCCGGUAUGGCGCAGCGGUCUUCGGAUCGCGGCGAGAAAGACCCGCAAGGGUUGCCAGAGGACGAGCCUGCGGCCCAUCAGCUAGUUGGCGAGGUAACGGCUCACCAAGGCGAAGACGGGUAGCUGGUCUGAGAGGAUGAUCAGCCACACUGGAACUGAGACACGGUCCAGACUCCUACGGGAGGCAGCAGUGGGGAAUAUUGCGCAAUGGGCGAAAGCCUGACGCAGCCACGCCGCGUGAGCGAUGAAGGCCUUCGGGUCGUAAAGCUCUGUGGGGAGAGAAGAAUAAAGCCUGUGAAGAGCAGGCCUUGACGGUAUCUCCUUAGCAAGCACCGGCUAACUCCGUG
rnacentral:rRNA from 1 species